UACUUUCAGUCAGUGUAGGAAGGUGGGUAUGUUAACUAGCAUACUUCAUUUUGACGUUUAGCUGCAGAAGUAAGCUACCGGCUAACUCCGUUGCCAGCAGCCGCGGUAAUACGGAGGGUGCGAGCGUUAAUCGGAAUUACUGGGCGUAAAGCGCAUGCAGGUGGUUUGUUAAGUCAGAUGUGAAAGCCCGGGGCUCAACCUCGGAAUUGCAUUUGAAACUGGCAAACUAGAGUACUGUAGAGGGGGUAGAAUUUCAGGUGUAGCGGUGAAAUGCGUAGAGAUCUGAAGGAAUACCGGUGGCGAAGGCGGCCCCCUGGACAGAUACUGACACUCAGAUGCGAAAGCGUGGGGAGCAAACAGGAUUAGAUACCCUGGUAG
rnacentral:rRNA from 1 species